rnacentral:misc_RNA from 1 species
GAGAGCAAAGAGCAGGCUAAAUUCUAUAGCCAAACUCUAUGGCCGAUCUCUAUGGGUGAGCUAGGAAGCAAGGAGAGGGAUCUGAGCAUUAGGGUACUAAAAUAUCCAGCUCCACUAAUGUUAGAUUUUGAGGAAGAGAAUCAGUCCCGGGCCUUAAUUUCUUAAAAAUUAAAUCUUCACCAUCAGGUUGGAGUUUGUUAAAGCAUUUAGGGUACAAUUUGAUCUUCACCAUUAAUCUUAUUUGUAAGGAUAAAUCUUGGGCCAUUAGAUUAAAGUAAUAA